rnacentral:tRNA from 1 species
GCGAGAGUGGCGGAAUUGGUAGACNNGGAUUUAGGUUCCAGCGCCGCGAGGCGUGAGAGUUCGAGUCUCUCCUUUCGCACCA